rnacentral:rRNA from 1 species
UGGGGAAUAUUGCACAAUGGGGGAAACCCUGAUGCAGCCAUGCCGCGUGUGUGAAGAAGGCCUUCGGGUUGUAAAGCACUUUCAGCGAGGAGGAAAGGUUGGCGCCUAAUACGUGUCAACUGUGACGUUACUCGCAGAAGAAGCACCGGCUAACUCCGUGCCAGCAGCCGCGGUAAUACGGAGGGUGCAAGCGUUAAUCGGAAUUACUGGGCGUAAAGCGCACGCAGGCGGUUGGAUAAGUUAGAUGUGAAAGCCCCGGGCUCAACCUGGGAAUUGCAUUUAAAACUGUCCAGCUAGAGUCUUGUAGAGGGGGUUAGAAUUCCAGGUGUAGCGGUGAAAUGCGUAGAGAUCUGGAGGAAUACCGGUGGCGAAGGCGGCCCCCUGGGACAAAGACUGACG